rnacentral:rRNA from 1 species
UACGUAGGGCGCAAGCGUUGUCCGGAAUUAUUGGGCGUAAAGCGCUCGUAGGCGGUUUGUUGCGUCCGCUGUGAAAACUCGGGGCUUAACCCCGAGCCUGCAGUGGAUACGGGCAGACUAGAGGUAGGUAGGGGAGAAUGGAAUUCCCGGUGUAGCGGUGAAAUGCGCAGAUAUCGGGAGGAACACCGGUGGCGAAGGCGGUUCUCUGGGCCUGACCUGACGCUGAGGAGCGAAAGCGUGGGGAGCGAACAGG